rnacentral:rRNA from 1 species
CCUACGGGUGGCUGCAGUGGGGAAUAUUGGACAAUGGGGGCAACCCUGAUCCAGCCAUGCCGCGUGUGUGAAGAAGGCCCUCGGGUUGUAAAGCACUUUCAGUGAGGAAGAACGCCUGGUGGUUAAUACCCAUCAGGAAAGACAUCACUCACAGAAGAAGCACCGGCUAACUCCGUGCCAGCAGCCGCGGUAAUACGGAGGGUGCGAGCGUUAAUCGGAAUUACUGGGCGUAAAGCGCGCGUAGGUGGCUUGAUAAGCCGGUUGUGAAAGCCCCGCGCUCAACCUGGGAACGGCAUCCGGAACUGUCAAGCUAGAGUGCAGGAGAGGAAGGUAGAAUUCCCGGUGUAGCGGUGAAAUGCGUAGAGAUCGGGAGGAAUACCAGUGGCGAAGGCGGCCUUCUGGACUGACACUGACACUGAGGUGCGAAAGCGUGGGUAGCAAACAGGAUUAGAUACCCCGGUAGUC